GAUGAACGCUGGCGGCGUAGCCUAACACAUGCAAGUCGAACGGAACUUUUAUGGGAUUGAGACUUCGGUUGAUUGAAGUUAGUUAGUGGCGGACGGGUGAGUAACGCGUGAGUAACCUGCCUUUCACAGGGGGAUAACGUUUGGAAACGAACGCUAAUACCGCAUAAGCGCACGGUGUCGCAUGACACAGUGUGAAAAACUCCGGUGGUACAAGAUGGACCCGCGUCUGAUUAGUUAGUUGCGGGGUAAGGCCCACCAAGACGACGAUCAGUAGCCGGCCUGAGAGGGUGAACGGCCACAUUGGGACUGAGACACGGCCCAAACUCCUACGGGAGGCAGCAGUGGGGAAUAUUGCACAAUGGGGGAAACCCUGAUGCAGCGACGCCGCGUGAGUGAAGAAGUAUUUCGGUAUGUAAAGCUCUAUCAGCAGGGAAGAAAAUGACGGUACCUGACCAAGAAGCCCCGGCUAACUACGUG
rnacentral:rRNA from 1 species